rnacentral:rRNA from 1 species
CAGCAGCAGCCGCGGUAAUACGUAGGUGGCAAGCGCUGUCCGGAAUUAUUGGGCGUAAAGCGCGCGCAGGUGGUUUAAUAAGUCUGAUGUGAAAGCCCACGGCUCAACCGUGGAGGGUCAUUGGAAACUGUUAAACUUGAGUGCAGGAGAGAAAAGUGGAAUUCCUAGUGUAGCGGUGAAAUGCGUAGAGAUUAGGAGGAACACCAGUGGCGAAGGCGGCUUUUUGGCCUGUAACUGACACUGAGGCGCGAAAGCGUGGGGAGCAAACAGGAUUAGAUACCCCUGUAGUCCCUGUCUCUUAUAC